CCUGAGUAGAGUGGCGCACGGGUGAGUAAUACAUCGGAACGUGUCCUGUAGCGGGGGAUAACCUAGCGAAAGCUAGGCUAAUACCGCAUACGCCCUAAGGGGGAAAGCGGGGGAUCUUCGGACCUCGCGCUAUUGGAUGAGCCUGCGUAGGAUUAGCUUGUUGGUGAGGUAAAGGCUCACCAAGGCGACGAUCCUUAGCUGGUCUGAGAGGAUGAUCAGCCACACCGGGACUGAGACACGGCCCGGACUCC
rnacentral:rRNA from 1 species